rnacentral:rRNA from 1 species
AUGGACGUUCCACUAGUGUUUGAAAUGUCAAACUACUUCUAUGGGGCUGUGCUCUCCGCUGCCGCUGACCAGGGCCAUAUGCACGGCAGCUGCCACUCGAGGCCCUUUAAUUUGGUCUUGAUGGCCCCGUGCCAAGGCUCCCAAAACGAUGGUCCACCCAUCGCUUGCGUAUACUCCUCGGAGACUGGACUAUGGGGCGAUCUGAUCUCAACAACAGAUCGAUGUGAGUUUGUUCAUUGUAAUCCUGGGAUCCUUGUUGGUAAUGUCCUUUACUGGUCAUCUAAGAGUGUGAGUGCCGAAUCAAAUUAUUUGGAUUUGGAUGAGCUCGCGGACGACAUAAUUGAGUUUGAUUUGGAUAGCCAGAGUCUUGCUUUGAUCAAGGGGCCUCGAGGACUGAAUUAUUCCACCACACAUCAGAUAAUCCAGUUAGAGGAUGGUGAUCUUGGUCUUGCCAUAUUGUCUCAUGGUAGAUUUGAAAUGUGGCAGAGGAAGGUCAGUUGUCAUGGUGGUGCUACAUGGUUCUUGCAGAAGACUGUUGAAAUACAUACUAUUCUUGGGCUCCCUCCUCAGGUGGAGGGAUCGAUGAGAGGGGUGGAAAUACUGGGGUAUGAUGAGGUUAAUGGUGUAAUGUUUUUAUUUGUGGACACCAAUGUCUACAUGCUUCAAGUGAUGUCAAUGCAAUCCAGGAAGCUUCAUCAAAGCCGUUAUGCCAAUAACUGUCAUCCUUUCACAAGUUUCUAUGGACCAGCCAUUCCUGAUGGAUACGGUGGAGCUGAAAUGCUGCAAGAUAUGUAG